CUUGGACGUUCAACUUCCCUGCCUCAGUGAAAACAGAUUUGUGUACAUUUUUAUUUUUAUUUAGUUGUGUCGAGAUAUGGUGGAGUUUUGGACCAUUUUGCUAGCUGAAGAAAGAAAAUUGAAGAUCAGCAAAUUUUCCUGUGAAUACCCCUUCAGUCUGCACUGGAACCUGUGUUGCCAAAAUUCAUGAAACCAUGGGUUUCGGAGAUUGGUCUCUGGC